AUACGUAGGGUGCGAGCGUUAAUCGGAAUUACUGGGCGUAAAGCGUGCGCAGGCGGUUUUGUAAGUCAGAUGUGAAAUCCCCGGGCUUAACCUGGGAACUGCGUUUGAAACUGCAAGGCUAGAGUGUGGCAGAGGGGGGUGGAAUUCCGCGUGUAGCAGUGAAAUGCGUAGAGAUGUGGAGGAACACCGAUGGCGAAGGCAGCCCCCUGGGUCAACACUGACGCUCAGGCACGAAAGCAUGGGGAGCAAACAGGAUUAGAUACCCCAGUAGUAC
rnacentral:rRNA from 1 species